AGGACGAACGCUGGCGGCGUGCUUAACACAUGCAAGUCGAACGGAAAGGCCCUUUCGGGGGUACUCGAGUGGCGAACGGGUGAGUAACACGUGGGUGAUCUGCCCUGCACUUCGGGAUAAGCUUGGGAAACUGGGUCUAAUACCGGAUAGGACUACGAAUCGCAUGGUUUGUGGUGGAAAGCUUUUGCGGUGUGGGAUGGGCCCGCGGCCUAUCAGCUUGUUGGUGGGGUGAUGGCCUACCAAGGCGACGACGGGUAGCCGGCCUGAGAGGGCGACCGGCCACACUGGGACUGAGACACGGCCCAGACUCCUACGGGAGGCAGCAGUGGGGAAUCUUGCGCAAUGGGCGAAAGCCUGACGCAGCGACGCCGCGUGGGGGAUGAAGGCCUUCGGGUUGUAAACCCCUUUCAGCAGGACGAAGCGAAAGUGACGGUACCUGCAGAAGAAGCGCCGGCUAACUACGCGCCAGCAGCCGC
rnacentral:rRNA from 1 species